rnacentral:rRNA from 1 species
GAUGAACGCUGGCGGCGUGCCUAAUACAUGCAAGUCGAGCGAACGGACGAGAAGCUUGCUUUUCUGAUUUUAUCGGCGGACGGGAGCGUAACACGUGGAUAACCUAACUAUAAGACUGGGAUAACUACGGGAAACCGUGUCUAAUACCGGAUAAUAUUUUGAACCGCAUGGUUCAAAAGUGAAAGACGGUCUUGCUUUCACUAAUAGAUUGCUCCGCGCUGCAUUAGCUAGUUGGUAAGGUAACUGCUUACCAAGGCAGCGAUGGAAACCCGACCUGAGAGGGUGAUCGGCCAGCCGGGCUGUGAGGCUCGUCCGCGACUCCUGCGCGAGGCCGCAGUAGGGAAUCCUACGCGAGGGGGCAGAGCGGGAUGUAGCAAAGCCGCGUGAGGGAUGAUGGAGCUCGGAUGGGAAAACUAUGAUAGUAGGGAAGUAGAUAUGUGCAUGUAACUGUGAUCAUAAUGACGGUACCGAAUCAGAAAGCUACGGCUAACUCCGUG